AUCCAUGAGUCGUACUUUGGAAAUUUAUAUUCAUUAAAUAAAAGAUAAAAAAAAAAAGAAUCCCAGGGGAGUAAAACCAAAAAAAAAAAAAAAAUAAAGCUGCUAGAGACAUCUGUGUGCAGCCUUUUUUGUGGACAUAAGUUUUUAAUUCCUUUGGGUAAAUACUAAGGAGCCCAGUUACUGGGUUGUAUGGUGAGAGUGUGUUUAGUUUGGUACAAUCUACCACAUUGUCUUCCAAAGUGGCCGUAUCAUUUUGCAUUCCCGACAUCAGUAAGUGAAUGAUCAUAUUGCUCCACAUCCUGUUAGCAUUUGGUGUUGUCAGUGUUUUGAAUUGUUACCAUUCUAAGAGGUAUGCAGUGGCAAUACAUUUUUUUAAAGGACAAAAAUCCUUUUCUAGUUGACAAUGAGUAUGUGCAUAUGGACCCAAGUAUCUUCUCCCUUCUCUCUCUCUUUUUUUUUUUUUUUUUUUUUACAAGCAGAAUGGACAGUGAGAGAGAGAGAGAGAUAGGGAGAAAGGUCUUUUUCCGUUGAUUCACCCUCCAAUGGCCGCUGCAGCCAGCGCGUUGCGGCCGGCGCACUGCGCUGAUCUGAUGGCAGGAGCCAGGUGCUUCUCCUGGUCUCCCAUGCGGGUGCAGGGCCCAAGCACUUGGGCCAUCCUCCACUGCACUCCCGGGCCACAGCAGAGAGCUGGACUGGAAGAGGAGCAACCGGGACAGAAUCCGGUGCCCUGACUGGGACUAGAACCCGGUGUGCCGGCACCGCAGGUGGAGGAUUAGCCUAGUGAGCUGCGGCGCCGGCCAUCCCUUCUCUAUUGUUGAAGACUGAGAGCCGCAGUUGCUCCCUUGGACUCUGUUUCAGCAUCAUGGUGAAAUAUUAGUAAAUGUUUGCUGGCUGCAUGGCUUUCGAUGACUUGACCACCCCUGCUUUUGAUAUCCAUGAGGGAUCUAUUUGGACAGAGUCAGAGCAGCCCAUGGGCAUACGCAUGCACAUAUACAUGCAUAUAAGUGCCACGGGUACUCUUCUGCUUCAGCUUAAGAUAGUAUUUAUUCAGUCCCUUGGAGGUAAACUUACUGCCUACUUUUUGUGUAGCCUCAGUACUCUGUACUUAUCCUGCACAAUGUGCCUGUCACAGAGUAGGUGAUAAUCGACGUUUGUUGAAUGACCAACCUACCUUUGGGUCAAGGUAGAGAUAAGAUAAGCUUGAAAAGAACCACCUAACAUUCUUGUGUUUAUUGUUUGAAGCCACCAUUACAGCUAUUUUGUAGUAGCAGAAAUCAAUCCAGGUUUUCCCUCAUGAGCCCAAACCCAUGACCAAGUGUGGACCUGAUAUUUGCCAACCCCCAACCCUCUGCAUAUUGUCAAAAACACAGCACACAUUGUAGCAAUCAUAUUGCCAAAGCUUUAUGGCAUCCAUAAAUUGAAAACUCCUGCCUCUGACAGCUAUGGGCCUGUGUCAACACCAGAUCACAUUGACUCUUCUGGAAUGUGUUUGCAAACACACUAUCCCUGCCUUGGAAGCUGUUGACAACAGAGGCUGUAAGUUCAUUAGAUGUGCCCUAGGGCAUUGUGGUGCUUGUCAUUUAUGGUAGGAGAAUUAUUAUUAUCUUUUAAAAUUCUUUUCGUUGAUUCUGUCCCAGGGCAGGAAGUAUCUUGGCUGCUAUCUUUGAUAGACAAGAAAGCCUGUUUAGAGAGGGAGUCCAAGUUGCUGGGAGAGACCGACAGAACCCAUUUGCUGGUUCACUCACCAGAUUCCUCAACGGGUAGGACUGGAUUUGGACUGAAGCUGGGAGCUGAGAACUCAAACUAGGUCUCCUAUGUGGGCGACGCAGACCUAACUACUUGAGCCAUCGCCUGCUGCCUCCCACGGUCUGCACUGAUAAAAAGCAGGAGUCAGAAGCCAGAGCCAGGACUUGAACCCAGCUUUCCAGGUGAGGAAACAGACGACCGGCAAGUUCAAAACAGUUUUACCAUAAGUUUGUCGGCAAGGUUCUCCGGAGGAAAUUUCCACCUCUGUAUUCAGACGUGAAGUUGAAUGCCCUUGACAAAUGUGCACUGGAUCCAUAGCGGCUCCUUCUACUCCGUGAGGAGCAGGUUGUUGCCCUCUCCCUCACGUGUUCUACCUGUGUUCUACGUCUGUGUUCUACCUGUCUGCACCUAAACCAAGGUUUUCUACACUCCAGUCAUUCGAGUAUCACCAAUGCGCUUCUUGACAUAACCAGGUACCCUGUGUAGUUUUAUGCAGUAAUUUUCGUUCAAUAAGUCCACUUUGUAUUUAAGUCUCAAAGUAGUCAAUAGACUCCAUGAAAUUUCAGGUUUGGUAUGUUAGGUGUACAUACGUGUGUGUGUGUGUGUGUGUGUGUGUCCAAACGCAAUUCAACACCUGGCACUUGGCUGUUAGGAAGCGUUCAUCUGUGGGCCAACUAAAUUCCUCUCGGCUAACGAUCUCAGGCAGGUAGCACACUUCAGAAAACAUGAAGGUCACGCACCUCAAGUUUAAGUCCUGGGAAUGCAGUCAUCAUAAUUCCAUCGUUGUUUGAAAGACAAGCUGCUUGCUGCACUUCUUCCCCUUGUCUUCCCCUUUCGCCUUCUCCCCCUUCUUGAGGUCUCCUCUCAUCCCCUUUCCAUUCUUUCACAGCCAUGUGGCUUCGUGGUCAUAAUUCCUUUCCCCAGUGUGGUGAGGGAAGCUUUCCCCUUGGCUUGCCCGCUGGGGUCCUUGCCUCAUUUGAGACGGAACUCCUGGAAACCACAUUAAAACAAAGUGGCAUGUGACAGAACGAAUAAAAAGACCUUUGUAUUCUUGUCUUUUUCUAGAAAUUGGGGCUUGAGGAAUAUUGAGAAGCAAUGUUAUUUCUAUUUCAUCCUCAUAGUCAGCCUUUUUGAGGAAAUGGCACAUAAACACAGAAGGUCCAAUUUCUGAAAGUGUGUUGAAUAAAUUAUUCCUCAAGGAGUAUAAUGGAGGCUCUGUUUUUGUUCAGGCGCUGUGGACAUGGCAAAAUCUGCAGGGGAGAAUGGAGAUGAGAAAAAGACCAGUCUGCAUGGAAUCUUUUCCCUUAUUAAACAUUCCUGUGGAACUCACUCAAGCUUAGUUUCUUCAGCAAUCAUGGUGACCACUGUGCAUUUACUGGUGGAUCACCACACUCAGUUCCCAGUUAGUUAUAACUCAACACCAAGUGGAUUAUCUAUAGUGAAGCUGCUCUGAAAAAGAGGAGUUUGGGAAUCUUUUGUCAUUAUAAUGUUUUCUUUGCUUUAACUUCUCAUCCCUGUUGACCCUGAAUGAGAAAGGAAUAGAGAGCCUUUGAUACCACACGUUUAGCAACUUUAAACCUAAAGAGCUCAGGAAGCUUUGCUUGAAAUGCAAUCUAGUUCUAAGAAGUGCAACACGUGGAGUCAUACGCAAAGCUCUUCUCCCAAAGGAGUUUCAGUGACUCAGUUUUCAUUUUGCUAGCAUUUGCAUAAUAGCUUCAGAAUCAUAUGGAAAAGUUUUACAGAAUUGCUUAUAAGAAGCCAAACACGAACGAAAACUAAAGCUGCAGCAAUGGAGUAAUUCUCCAUGCCUUCUUACUCAGGAGAAAAUUAAGCAGAGUCAGUCCUAAAAGCAGUUCAUCCUAAAAAGACCAAUAUAGGAUCGGACCCAUGGGGAGGAAUGGGUGCUCUGUGUUUACCGUGACUCCCUAAAGACGUUCUUUCCGAUGGGAAGCAGAUGGAAACCCCAUGCAGAGGCAGAUGCCCGCUGUGACUGUCACAGGGCUGCACCGUGCCUUGGAAAUGACAUCAGUCAAGAUAUCUGUGACUGGAGUCUCACAUUUCACAGACAGAUUUUGCUUUAUUUUAUUUUUUUUUUUUGUAGGACCGAAGAUGGCAAGAGGAGCCAGUAAAUUCUGUCUCAGGUCCUCAGCUAGUGGGAGUUUAAAGUGAUUCUAUGAGUAAAUCAACUGUCCCAACCCCCUAAUGUAAUACGGACCAUCCCGUUUGAAUUUGAAUUUCUUGUGUCCCUGUUUUAGAAAACUGAUGUACGCCAACACCCAGAAUGAGCUGGGCCUAGCAAGUGGAGUGCAGUGCUGAUGGGGAUUAUCAGGAAGAACUAAAGUAUUUAUUUUUUAUGAAGCUUCUCCUAUAACCAGGUUUAUAACUGGAAAGGGCCAAAGCUGAAAUUGUGCAGCCACAUAGAUUAGCAUUUCUCACUGGAGAGGAGAUUAGCUCACCACACUUUAACACUUAGGUUUACUAUACAUGAAUAAAUGUUGCUGCUGUUCUCAUUUUCACUUUCUUCCUUCUGCUGUUAUUGAGAUUCUACUGAAACAACCUUAUAUGAAUGCGAAGGAAAUUCUGAAAUUGAGGAAUCUGUUUUCCUUAAGAAUUGGUGUUUAUCUUGUGCCUCUGCCAAGAAACAGUGAGCAAGCUUUAGGCUUAAGGCUAGUUCAGGGCCAUUUAAUUCUCUAUUUAAUUCUACGUAAGUGAAUGCUCUCCCAAGAAAAUGAAGGCGUAUCCAAAUGAAUCUCUUGCAAGGCUGUUGUCUCAUGAAUCGCUGUGGUAAUUCCAAAAGACUGGAUGACUGGUUAAUACUAAUUAAGUCACAGUUUCCAGUAAUGUCUUUACAAAGGUCAAUUAAUUUUGUCCUACUUACCUGAACCUCAGGAGUGAUGCUUGGGUCUCAAGGAAGACUGGAUACCAAGAUGUUAGGGAAUAUGCAGGAAGAUUCAUCCCCUCCUGGAUAACACUCAGAAUGUUUGGCCUGUGCACAAGUAUGCUGCUUUAGAAAAAAAAUAAUAAGACUAUUCAAUGACACUUGUUAAGGAUUUCAAGGCAUCAUUUAAUUAAGGGAUUGGGGGUGUGGGUAAAACUAUCUUCAUAUGUAGAAUGACCACGGCAAUGAGAAUUUUCAGUAGGGGAGAGAGACUAGGCUGAACUCCAAAUAUAGCAUGGACAAGUGGGAACUUACAACCAAGGAAUAGGAUGUAGGCCAGUGGAUAGAAAAUUACUAAGAGGAAAAGUAGGGGUAAGGGGAAUUAUGGCUAGACAGACUUAUAAGGCAGACAAGGUGAUCAUAACAGCACCUGGGAGACGAUGCAGUCUUGAGAGGCUUGAGAACCUGGGUACAUAGCGAGGGUCACAAGACAGGGAGGAAAUUGCUACACCAACUUGUCUCGAUUCAUGUUCAAACUGGACGCUGCAGAGACAGACAUGAAAGUCUAAAAGUUGAAGCUGAGUUAAAAACUUCAGAGUGGGGCCGGCGCUGGGCGCAGUUGGUUAAUCCUCCGCCUGUGGUGCUGCCAUCCCAUAUGGGCGGCAUUGCAGAAAGCAGCUUAGUCUGCUGUGCCACAGCUCCAACCCCAAGGGGCAUGAAAUUUUUAAAAGCUCCCCGGGUGCUAUUAAUAUGCAGCCAAACAUUUUGAGAGCCAGUAGUUUAGACCAAACAUUUGCCAGUGGGGUCAGAGUAGGAGUUAGGAAUGUAUAUUAGAUGAUAAACCACCACAGCAUUGAGUAUUGUUAUAUUUUCAGUAUAGAUUUUUAAAAAAGAUUUAUUUUUAUUUAUUUGAAAGACAGAGUUACAGAGAGAGGUAGAGACACAGAGAGAGGUCUUCUGUCCGCUGGUUCACUCCCCAGCUGGCUGCAACAGCUGGAGCUGCACCGAUCCAAACACAGGAGCCAGGAGCUUCUUCUGGGUCUUCCACGUGGGUGCAGGGGCCCAAGGACUUGGACCAUCUUCUGCUGCCUUCCCAGGCCAUAGCAGAGAGCUGGAUCGGAAGAGGAGCAGCCGGGACUAGAACCAGUGUCCAUAUGGGAUGCUGGCGCUUCAGGCCAGGGCUUUAACCCGCUAUUCCACAGGGCCGGCCCUUCAGUGUAGAUUUUAAAAAGUCAUAUGUACAUAUAUAAAUGCAUGCAAGGGAUUGGAGUCUGAUUUGGAGGAAUCCUCAUUUAUAGGGAGACCAGGUGAACACGGUCCAUAUUAGGAGAACAUGUUGGGUUCAUCCAAAGCCAACCAAAAUCAUUUGUUAGAAUGGUUGUGAUUAUGCACAUAAAGAGUUACAUUUUCCUUUAGCAAGGCAUAAUUAGCAUAAUUAGUAGUGAUGACAGUGAGAGUUCAGGACAUGCCACUCCAAAAUAUGCUGCUUUCGCAUAUUGAUUAUUUUGAGCUAAAUGCAUUUGAAAAACAGCAGGUGCAAGAAAGGCACUCCGACCUCCCCUUUUCUUCCUGAGAGAAGGCAGGGAGACUCCCACAUAAAAGAUGCCCUCCUUGCACCAGGAGAAAAGAAACAUUUUUGUCACUGGAGAUGGGGUGUUGAGGCUGAGAGAAGUGUGGGGAGCAACUCGGACUAGACUAAGUUACUGGAAUUAAGACUUAUUCUAUGCAUCUGCUCUCCCACAAUAUGGCGCUGAGAAGGGAGAAACAGCUUCUUCACAGCUGCCUCCAGUUCAACCAAUAAACUGUAGGACCUGCUCCUGAUUGGAGGAGAGCAGCGUACUCGGCGUGUGGGCAGCCGAGUUGGGAUUGGCGG